UCCUUCUCUCCAAAGCACCCUGCUCAAACUGCACCAGCCGAGCUUCUGAAGGUCAGCUGGUGUGGUCGUGUAAGUGCGGGUACACCAGGGAAGGAGAUCAGACACACCGAAUCUGAAUGGAGACAAUGGGCGGACCUCUUUCUUAAUGUCCAGUGUCCUUGUCUUAAGAUGACGUGUGACAUUC